rnacentral:rRNA from 1 species
UGACGAGUGGCGGACGGGUGAGUAAUGUCUGGGAAACUGCCUGAUGGAGGGGGAUAACUACUGGAAACGGUGGCUAAUACCGCAUAACGUCGCAAGACCAAAGAGGGGGACCUUCGGGCCUCUUGCCAUCAGAUGUGCCCAGAUGGGAUUAGCUUGUUGGUGAGGUAACGGCUCACCAAGGCGACGAUCCCUAGCUGGUCUGAGAGGAUGACCAGCCACACUGGAACUGAGACACGGUCCAGACUCCUACGGGAGGCAGCAGUGGGGAAUAUUGCACAAUGGGCGCAAGCCUGAUGCAGCCAUGCCGCGUGUAUGAAGAAGGCCUUCGGGUUGUAAAGUACUUUCAGCGGGGAGGAAGGUGUUGUGGUUAAUAACCGCAGCAAUUGACGUUACCCGCAGAAGAAGCACCGGCUAACUCCGUGCCAGCAGCCGCGGUAAUACGGAGGGUGCAAGCGUUAAUCGGAAUUACUGGGCGUAAAGCGCACGCAGGCGGUCUGUCAAGUCGGAUGUGAAAUCCCCGGGCUCAACCUGGGAACUGCAUUCGAAACUGGCAGGCUUGAGUCUUGUAGAGGGGGGUAGAAUUCCAGGUGUAGCGGUGAAAUGCGUAGAGAUCUGGAGGAAUACCGGUGGCGAAGGCGGCCCCCUGGACAAAGACUGACGCUCAGGUGCGAAAGCGUGGGGAGCAAACAGGAUUAGAUACCCUGGUAGUCCACGCCGUAAACGAUGUCUACUUGGAGGUUGUGCCCUUGAGGCGUGGCUUCCGGAGCUAACGCGUUAAGUAGACCGCCUGGGGAGUACGGCCGCAAGGUUAAAACUCAAAUGAAUUGACGGGGGCCCGCACAAGCGGUGGAGCAUGUGGUUUAAUUCGAUGCAACGCGAAGAACCUUACCUGGUCUUGACAUCCACGGAACUUUCCAGAGAUGGAUUGGUGCCUUCGGGAACCGUGAGACAGGUGCUGCAUGGCUGUCGUCAGCUCGUGUUGUGAAAUGUUGGGUUAAGUCCCGCAACGAGCGCAACCCUUAUCCUUUGUUGCCAGCGGUCCGGCCGGGAACUCAAAGGAGACUGCCAGUGAUAAACUGGAGGAAGGUGGGGAUGACGUCAAGUCAUCAUGGCCCUUACGACCAGGGCUACACACGUGCUACAAUGGCGCAUACAAAGAGAAGCGACCUCGCGAGAGCAAGCGGACCUCAUAAAGUGCGUCGUAGUCCGGAUUGGAGUCUGCAACUCGACUCCAUGAAGUCGGAAUCGCUAGUAAUCGUGGAUCAGAAUGCCACGGUGAAUACGUUCCCGGGCCUUGUACACACCGCCCGUCACACCAUGGGAGUGGGUUGCAAAAGAAGUAGGUAGCUUAACCUUCGGGAGGGCGCUUACCACUUUGUGAUUCAUGACUGGGGUGAAGUCGUAACAAGGUAACCGUAGGGGAACCUGCGGUUGGAUCACCUCCUUACCUGAAAGAAGC